rnacentral:lncRNA from 1 species
AGGCGGUCGGAGGCAGCUCUGCCAUGAACAGUAGCAUCCAUCCUCCUGGCUACAUGCCCAGAAGGCCCGAGACAGACCAAAGAAUCCCUAAGGUUUCUAGAACUCCACGCAGGAGAUCUUUGAAGAGCUACAUGAUGGGUUCGACUUCUCUCCCUCCCUAGUCAAGGGGCAGGAGCAGCAGGCCGCCAGCAGCAUCCUGUGCUGGUCUGAGAACUCCACUCAGGAGAUGUUUGAAGAGUUAUGUGUUGGGUUCGACUUCUCUCCCUCCCUAGUCAAGGGGCAGGAGCAGCAGGCCACCAGCAGCAUCCUGUGCCGGUCUGAGGUGAGAGCAGGAGCAGAAGGUCUUUACCCCCACCCCCCCCAAGAUGUUCAGCGUGGGCCUGGAACCCAGGUCUGAAUCUGAG